rnacentral:rRNA from 1 species
GGUUAAGCGACUAAGCGUACACGGUGGAUGCCCUGGCAGUCAGAGGCGAUGAAGGACGUGCUAAUCUGCGAUAAGCGUCGGUAAGGUGAUAUGAACCGUUAUAACCGGCGAUUUCCGAAUGGGGAAACCCAGUGUGUUUCGACACACUAUCAUUAACUGAAUCCAUAGGUUAAUGAGGCGAACCGGGGGAACUGAAACAUCUAAGUACCCCGAGGAAAAGAAAUCAACCGAGAUUCCCCCAGUAGCGGCGAGCGAACGGGGAGCAGCCCAGAGCCUGAAUCAGUAUGUGUGUUAGUGGAAGCGUCUGGAAAGGCGCGCGAUACAGGGUGACAGCCCCGUACACAAAAAUGCACAUAUUGUGAGCUCGAUGAGUAGGGCGGGACACGUGGUAUCCUGUCUGAAUAUGGGGGGACCAUCCUCCAAGGCUAAAUACUCCUGACUGACCGAUAGUGAACCAGUACCGUGAGGGAAAGGCGAAAAGAACCCCGGCGAGGGGAGUGAAAAAGAACCUGAAACCGUGUACGUACAAGCAGUGGGAGCACGCUUAGGCGUGUGACUGCGUACCUUUUGUAUAAUGGGUCAGCGACUUAUAUUCUGUAGCAAGGUUAACCGAAUAGGGGAGCCGAAGGGAAACCGAGUCUUAACUGGGCGUUAAGUUGCAGGGUAUAGACCCGAAACCCGGUGAUCUAGCCAUGGGCAGGUUGAAGGUUGGGUAACACUAACUGGAGGACCGAACCGACUAAUGUUGAAAAAUUAGCGGAUGACUUGUGGCUGGGGGUGAAAGGCCAAUCAAACCGGGAGAUAGCUGGUUCUCCCCGAAAGCUAUUUAGGUAGCGCCUCGUGAAUUCAUCUCCGGGGGUAGAGCACUGUUUCGGCAAGGGGGUCAUCCCGACUUACCAACCCGAUGCAAACUGCGAAUACCGGAGAAUGUUAUCACGGGAGACACACGGCGGGUGCUAACGUCCGUCGUGAAGAGGGAAACAACCCAGACCGCCAGCUAAGGUCCCAAAGUCAUGGUUAAGUGGGAAACGAUGUGGGAAGGCCCAGACAGCCAGGAUGUUGGCUUAGAAGCAGCCAUCAUUUAAAGAAAGCGUAAUAGCUCACUGGUCGAGUCGGCCUGCGCGGAAGAUGUAACGGGGCUAAACCAUGCACCGAAGCUGCGGCAGCGACGCUUAUGCGUUGUUGGGUAGGGGAGCGUUCUGUAAGCCUGUGAAGGUGUACUGUGAGGUAUGCUGGAGGUAUCAGAAGUGCGAAUGCUGACAUAAGUAACGAUAAAGCGGGUGAAAAGCCCGCUCGCCGGAAGACCAAGGGUUCCUGUCCAACGUUAAUCGGGGCAGGGUGAGUCGACCCCUAAGGCGAGGCCGAAAGGCGUAGUCGAUGGGAAACAGGUUAAUAUUCCUGUACUUGGUGUUACUGCGAAGGGGGGACGGAGAAGGCUAUGUUGGCCGGGCGACGGUUGUCCCGGUUUAAGCGUGUAGGCUGGUUUUCCAGGCAAAUCCGGAAAAUCAAGGCUGAGGCGUGAUGACGAGGCACUACGGUGCUGAAGCAACAAAUGCCCUGCUUCCAGGAAAAGCCUCUAAGCAUCAGGUAACAUCAAAUCGUACCCCAAACCGACACAGGUGGUCAGGUAGAGAAUACCAAGGCGCUUGAGAGAACUCGGGUGAAGGAACUAGGCAAAAUGGUGCCGUAACUUCGGGAGAAGGCACGCUGAUAUGUAGGUGAAGUCCCUCGCGGAUGGAGCUGAAAUCAGUCGAAGAUACCAGCUGGCUGCAACUGUUUAUUAAAAACACAGCACUGUGCAAACACGAAAGUGGACGUAUACGGUGUGACGCCUGCCCGGUGCCGGAAGGUUAAUUGAUGGGGUCAGCGCAAGCGAAGCUCUUGAUCGAAGCCCCGGUAAACGGCGGCCGUAACUAUAACGGUCCUAAGGUAGCGAAAUUCCUUGUCGGGUAAGUUCCGACCUGCACGAAUGGCGUAAUGAUGGCCAGGCUGUCUCCACCCGAGACUCAGUGAAAUUGAACUCGCUGUGAAGAUGCAGUGUACCCGCGGCAAGACGGAAAGACCCCGUGAACCUUUACUAUAGCUUGACACUGAACAUUGAGCCUUGAUGUGUAGGAUAGGUGGGAGGCUUUGAAGUGUGGACGCCAGUCUGCAUGGAGCCGACCUUGAAAUACCACCCUUUAAUGUUUGAUGUUCUAACGUUGACCCGUGAUCCGGGUUGCGGACAGUGUCUGGUGGGUAGUUUGACUGGGGCGGUCUCCUCCUAAAGAGUAACGGAGGAGCACGAAGGUUGGCUAAUCCUGGUCGGACAUCAGGAGGUUAGUGCAAUGGCAUAAGCCAGCUUGACUGCGAGCGUGACGGCGCGAGCAGGUGCGAAAGCAGGUCAUAGUGAUCCGGUGGUUCUGAAUGGAAGGGCCAUCGCUCAACGGAUAAAAGGUACUCCGGGGAUAACAGGCUGAUACCGCCCAAGAGUUCAUAUCGACGGCGGUGUUUGGCACCUCGAUGUCGGCUCAUCACAUCCUGGGGCUGAAGUAGGUCCCAAGGGUAUGGCUGUUCGCCAUUUAAAGUGGUACGCGAGCUGGGUUUAGAACGUCGUGAGACAGUUCGGUCCCUAUCUGCCGUGGGCGCUGGAGAACUGAGGGGGGCUGCUCCUAGUACGAGAGGACCGGAGUGGACGCAUCACUGGUGUUCGGGUUGUCAUGCCAAUGGCACUGCCCGGUAGCUAAAUGCGGAAGAGAUAAGUGCUGAAAGCAUCUAAGCACGAAACUUGCCCCGAGAUGAGUUCUCCCUGACNNNNNNNNNNUUGCCCCGAGAUGAGUUCUCCCUGACUCCUUGAGAGUCCUGAAGGAACGUUGAAGACGACGACGUUGAUAGGCCGGGUGUGUAAGCGCAGCGAUGCGUUGAGCUAACCGGUACUAAUGAACCGUGAGGCUUAACCUUACAACGCCGAAG